CUACGGAGGGUGCAAGCGUUACUCGGAAUUACUGGGCGUAAAGGACGCGUAGGCGGUUUAGAAAGUCAGAUGUGAAAGCCUAUGGCUUAACCAUAGAACUGCAUCUGAAACUCCUAGACUAGAGUGAGGGAGAGGUCAGUGGAAUUAGUGGUGUAGGGGUAAAAUCCGUAGAGAUCACUAGGAAUACUCAUAGCGAAGGCGACUGACUGGAACUUUACUGACGCUGAGGCGUGAAAGCGUGGGGAGCAAACAGGAUUAGAAACCCCAGUAGUCC
rnacentral:rRNA from 1 species